AACAAUCCACUACCAGGCAGUUACGAACGUCACUGUCAAUCGGUUACGCUCUUCCAUCUAUAAAAGAGAUCCUCCAGAUAUGUUCUCCUCUAAGCUCUAAGCAUUAUCUCUAAACUCUGCUAAAAUCCCAUUCGAGUGCUCCAUUUCUAUUGAAGCAGAGUACUGACUUGAGCAUCGGAGGGUCUUGCCGGAGCACCUCCAACUCCAGUUUAGACUUUCCUUGCAGGUCCCGACGGUGGUCAUGAUCCCCUCAACUCCAGCUUCUCCGACAUCGGUGGAAUUCUGCACCAACAACUCCCA
rnacentral:lncRNA from 1 species